CCUGUCAUCAAGAGCACCAAAGCAUCCUGUGAGCAGUUCUACACUGUAGCCUGUGUCAAACAGUUUAAAAAGUCAGACAGCAUUUUGGAGAGGAAUAGUUGGUACCUGCAAAUCCCUGGAAAGGUUCUUCACGGCUCCUGUGUGUCUUUCAUAUACUGUCAGCACUCAUGUGGAUGACACAAGAAGUGAUCCAGAAUUUUAAAGGAAGAAAAUGGAAAAUACUGCAAACCAGAUACCCAGAAAAUGAGGCCCCAUAUUUGAUGUAUCUGUGUUUCGUUUUGAAAGGUGUACAUUUGCUAUUGGAAGCAUUUCUGACAGAAGUGCAGAGAGAUCAUAGAUAGACAAUCAGAAGUUUGUAGAAGACAUUGAAACAAGGAGCUGGAGUGAUGAAACAGGAUGGGAGGAAUUGGAGGAUGUGAGCAGGAGGGAUUCUGGGAAGAAGGAAAACAAACAGAAAGUAAUUGCAGAAAAAAAAAAGGAAGAGACUGGGAUGCUUUCCCA